CCUACGGGAGGCAGCAGUGGGGAAUAUUGCGCAAUGGGCGAAAGCCUGACGCAGCGACGCCGCGUGAGGGAUGAAGGUCUUCGGAUCGUAAAACUCUGUCAGCAGGGAAGAACGGUCACUGUGCUAAUCAGCAGUGAAUUGACGGUACCUGCAAAGGAAGCACCGGCUAACUCCGUGCCAGCCGCCGCGGUAAUACGGAGGGUGCGAGCGUUAAUCGGAAUUACUGGGCGUAAAGCGCUCGUAGGCGGUAUGUCAAGUCAAGGGUGAAAUCCCCGCGCUCAACGUGGGAACUGCCUUUGAAACUGGCAAACUGGAGUGUGGGAGAGGAUAGUGGAAUUCGAGGUGUAGGAGUGAAAUCCGUAGAUAUCUGGAGGAACAUCAGUGGCGAAGGCGACUAUCUGGCACAUAACUGACGCUGAGGAGCGAAAGCGUGGGUAGCAAACAGGAUUAGAUACCCCUGUAGUC
rnacentral:rRNA from 1 species